CACACACACACACACACACACACCCAGCAAACCUCCCUUUUCCCCGAAACCCCCCCCCCAAACACAUUCACUCACUCAUAUACACUCAUACAAUACCACCCAAACAUCCACCUACACAAGCCUUCAUUCACUCCAACACCCAAACACAGACACUCCCACACAUACCCCUAAGUAUGCACUGAUGCUUAUACUCUUACAAACCUGGAUGCACCCUGUCCCACCCAGCCAUGCACUCCCAUAGCAGGGUUCUGUCUUUUUGUCUCCUCUUAUCUGGCCUGUCUUACACACACACACACACACACACACACACACACACACACACACACACACACGCAUUCACCCACAGCCACUCAGAAGGAAAAACACAAACACAGGGUUGUAGAAAUUCUCUGGCUACUUCCUGGAUUCAGAAAGACUCUGUGUGAAGGUAAAACCAGGUUGAAGAGUGAGAAAUUACUUUGUAUUUACUUAUUCAUGGGACAGGAUUGAAACUCUCAACUUGAUUUUAUCUUCAGAGAAAUGAAAAGCAAGCCCACCCUCUUCUCAUCAAUAGGCCUUUCCAGAAUCUCCUCACACGACUGAUCCAUAGCACGUUGUAAAGAAAAAGCUCAUGAGGUCAAGAGCCCUGGAUUCUAGUCUCAGCAAUGUUACUGCCUAGCUGGAUGACUUUGGAUGAGGAAACUGAGGCCCAGAAUGGUGAUAGAACUUGUCUAAGGUGACUUAUUCAUUAAGUGGUAGAACAGGAUGUGAAUCCAGGUCUUUGGAAUACCAGUCUAAGCCUAAGGUGAUUGAACAUCAGCUUCAAGUGCCCAGCCUUGGAGGUACCCAUGUGAGAUUGAGGGGAUACAGGGCACUGUAUCCCAUCAGGCAAGAGCUGGCUUGUGGCAGAAGGAGGAGUUCCCCAGAAAUGACUCCAGCACUCUUGGAGAAGACAACCCCCAUCACGAGGAUUGGCCCAAGCCCUGACCUUUUAACCAGGAGACAUGUACUGGAAGUUGUUUGGACAAUGGCAGAAGGGAGGGGAAAUAAAGAAUGCCUACUCAGCAGUCAUGUAAACUGAUUUCUAUUUUGAUGUGGGGUUUUAAGUAUCAGCUUCCCAAGAGAAUAUGAGUAGUUAUAAAUUAAGUUACUGAAUCUUGUUUUAAGUUGUCUUAUCAAUACACAUCAUGAAUCUUUUGUGUUCAUUAGUAUUUUUUUUGUGUGUAUAGGAAAUAAAUACCUGUCUCAUACUUGAUU